GGAAAUGGCCAUGGCUCUGUGGUUAGAGCAUCUGCUUUGCAUGUAGAAGGUCCCAGGUUCAAUCCCUGGCAUCUCCA